rnacentral:rRNA from 1 species
GACGAACGCUGGCGGCGUGCUUAACACAUGCAAGUCGAACGGAAAGGCCCUGCUUUUGUGGGGUGCUCGAGUGGCGAACGGGUGAGUAACACGUGAGUAACCUGCCCUUGACUUUGGGAUAACUUCAGGAAACUGGGGCUAAUACCGGAUAGGAGCUCCUGCUGCAUGGUGGGGGUUGGAAAGUUUCGGCGGUUGGGGAUGGACUCGCGGCUUAUCAGCUUGUUGGUGGGGUAGUGGCUUACCAAGGCUUUGACGGGUAGCCGGCCUGAGCGGGUGACCGGCCACAUUGGGACUGAGAUACGGCCCAGACUCCUACGGGAGGCAGCAGUGGGGAAUAUUGCACAAUGGGCGGAAGCCAGAUGCAGCAACGCCGCGUGCGGGAUGACGGCCUUCGGGUUGUAAACCGCUUUCGCCUGUGACGAAGCGUGAGUGACGGUAAUGGGUAAAGAAGCACCGGCUAACUACGUG